ACAGGGAGUCAUAAAAGAAAAGGAAAUCAAGUAGUUUAUCCAAGGUGUAAAUUGCAGGAUAUAUGUCGCAGGCGGCUUCCAGCGCGUUCAGUCGCGGGCAGCCUACAAGCGUUCAAGACACUCCGCAUGAGAAAUUAAAUGCCACCUACGGACAAGGAAACGACUGGAAACCAUUUUUACAUACAAUUGGCACUCCUCAGAUGAUCAGGCAUUAUAUGCGUCUGGCCGAUAGCAUCAAGGCUCUCAAAAGUAACAGAAAACAAAAACACCUCUAUUUAGGCAACAC